AGCUAGGUCCCGCGCAAGAGACGGAUCGAGAACCCCGUCAGGUCCGGAAGGAAGCAGCGGUAUCGAUUUCGUCCCUGUGCCGCGGGGAAACCUAGCUAUC
rnacentral:SRP_RNA from 2 species